AUGGCCUUCUUCAUUGAUGGGUUGGCGAGCAAUCUUUGCUUCCUUAGGAUAUCAUCAAUCGGAAUCGAUGUCAGAAUUGAAUCAAGCUUUGGCACAUCCUCCUCAUCAACAAAAACACCAAUUUCGUCCCAAGGGAUUGCAUCCGCGAAAGGCAGCACGAUGUCGUCAGCUAUGAUGACUGGAAUGCAGCCAAAAACCACAGCCUCCACCAACCUAGGACUCCAUGGCGCCCACCCCAACGGACAUAAGCAGAAGACGGAGCGCUGCAUAUCUUCGUAG
rnacentral:rRNA from 1 species